CAUUAUGGUGGAUUGGAGCAGGGGAGUCGAAAGACUCACCGUUUGACCUUUGAGCGGCACUGCGAACCCUGUUUCAGUCCAUCACCCUA
rnacentral:antisense_RNA from 1 species